AACGGGGAAUCAGAAGUGAUUUGUUCACAAUAGAUUAUAGGCAAGUAUUGGCAAUAAAUGAUCUGUUGUUACACCCACACUCACACGUUAUAACAAGUAGAGACAGAAAAAUAGUAAUUGUUGGGUGAUGGAUGGGUGCAUGCAUGCAUGCAAAGUAAGAUGUGGAUGUGGACAAGUGUGCCAAAAAAAUUGAUAGAUUUGAGAUGGAUAGAUAAGCA
rnacentral:lncRNA from 1 species